UAUGAAUGGCCACACGAGGGCUUUACUGUCUCUUACUUCCAAUCCGUGAAAUUGACCUUCCCGUGAAGAGGCGGGAAUAUAACAAUAAGACGAGAAGACCCUAUGGAGCUUUAAUUAACCGACCCAAAGAGACCCCACUGAUUAACCGACAGGAACAACAAAUCUCUACAUGGGCCGACAAUUUAGGUUGGGGUGACCUCGGAGAAUAAAACAACCUCCGAGUGAUUUAAAUCUAGACUAACCAGUCGAAAGUAUUACAUCACUUAUUGAUCCAAAACUUGAUCAACGGAACAAGUUACCCUAGGGAUAACAGCGCAAUCCUAUUUUAGAGUCCAUAUCGACAAUAGGGUUUACGACCUCGAUG
rnacentral:rRNA from 1 species